rnacentral:tRNA from 2 species
GCCUGGGUGGCUCAGUGGGUUAAGCGUCUGACUUCAGCUCAGGUCAUGAUUUCAUGGUUGUGGGUUUGAGCCCCACGUCAGGCU